rnacentral:sRNA from 1 species
CACUGGUCGAGAGCUAUUACCGCUUUCCUGAUAAGUCCAAGGAAGGACGAAACUAGUA